AUGCAACUCCUGCCUCUCCCCUAUAGAUCUUCCAAAGUGACUCAAUGGGAUGAUCUACUACAGAGGAGAAGAGUUGGUACUUAUGCUGAUAGGCAGAAAGAGUGUACAGUGGAAUGCUGGAACCAUGAAAUAAUACAUUUUAAUACUUGAAAGAAGAAGAGGAUUUUUUAAGAAGGCAUAUUACCUCACUUUUGAAUAUCUAGAUGAUGAAUCUAAUUUAAUUGCAAGUAAAAAGAUUGCAUGAAAAAAGUUUAGUUUCAUGUGGAAUAAAUACAAUAAUCACAUUUUCCA
rnacentral:lncRNA from 1 species